GACGUAGGGCGCGAGCGUUGUCCGGAUUUAUUGGGCGUAAAGAGCUCGUAGGCGGCUCGUUGCGUCGGCUGUGAAAACCCGCAGCUCAACUGUGGGCUUGCAGCCGAUACGGGCGGGCUGGAGUUCGGUAGGGGAGACUGGAAUUCCUGGUGUAGCGGUGAAAUGCGCAGAUAUCAGGAGGAACACCGGUGGCGAAGGCGGGUCUCUGGGCUGACACUGACGCUCGAUGCACGAAAGCGUGGGGAGCAACAGG
rnacentral:rRNA from 1 species